rnacentral:rRNA from 1 species
UUUUAACGGAGAGUUUGAUCCUGGCUCAGGACGAACGCUGGCGGCGUGCCUAAUACAUGCAAGUCGAGCGGACAGAAGGGAGCUUGCUCCCGGACGUU